rnacentral:lncRNA from 1 species
GGAGAGGGUGAAUUUUGCUCUCAAAAAUAAUUUUUAAAAAAAGGUAAUGGGGCUGAAUUUCUGGAGAGAGAUCAGGAAGAGCCAUGGUUUGAGACAAAAAAGAACCAGACAGAAGACAAAACGCAGGACUUUAGGCGAGCUGACAGUGAGGACCCAGAGAAAAUGACACCAUGUGACCCAGCCUCCUCCAAGACUUCCGGGGCGCAGGACGGGAAACAAGAGUGAUUAAAAACUGCCAUGUAGCCCGAACAGAGUUCAGCCAGAGUUUUCAUCCAGCAUGAAAGUCAUCAGAAUCCCAGAGCCCUCACCUAGCUGGGUGCACGCACAAGUGACAGCUUCAAGAGAUUGUUUGCCGUUGAAUGGAAAACGGCCAGCCUUGAUUAGACAUUGCCGCUCUGCCCAGGGGUGGCAAUACUUCGGAGCAUCCAUGCGGUGUGAAAGGCGCCUGCUGUACUUGGCCAUCGCCCUCGAGGGCCAGCUGGGGUGCUUGAGCAAAUGAGAAGCAUCCAGAGGGAUGCCUGGCAUCUCGCGGGCUCCAUCCAUAAGGGCUAAGAGGAAGUAAAUUUAGCUUGAC